UACGUAGGUGGCGAGCGUUGUCCGGAUUUACUGGGCGUAAAGGGAGCGUAGGCGGACUUUUAAGUGAGAUGUGAAAUACCCGGGCUCAACUUGGGUGCUGCAUUUCAAACUGGAAGUCUAGAGUGCAGGAGAGGAGAAUGGAAUUCCUAGUGUAGCGGUGAAAUGCGUAGAGAUCGGGAGGAACACCAGUGGCGAAGGCGGGUAACUGGACUGCAACUGACGCUGAGAAGCGAAAGCAUGGGGAGCGAACAGGAUUAGAUACCCGGGUA
rnacentral:rRNA from 1 species